rnacentral:lncRNA from 1 species
CUCCUCCUUCUUCUUCUUCUUCUUCUUCUUUUUUGUCACAACGUUCUGAUUGUUUUUCUUCUUCUUCUUUUUUGUCACAACGUUCUGAUUGUUCAUCAAGGACAAUACUGCAAAUUAAUUCUUUUCUACCUCUUGGACUCAAAACCAAGAUCCUUUCAAUCAUUUAGGAAAUGCUACUUGCCAAAGGUUAUCAUGGUCUUAUCAUCA